UACGUAGGGUGCAAGCGUUGUCCGGAAUUAUUGGGCGUAAAGAGCUCGUAGGCGGUUUGUUGCGUCGGCUGUGAAAUCCCGAGGCUCAACCUCGGGUCUGCAGUCGAUACGAGCAAACUAGAGUGUUGCAGGGGAGACUGGAAUUCCUGGUGUAGCGGUGAAAUGCGCAGAUAUCAGGAGGAACACCGGUGGCGAAGGCGGGUCUCUGGGCCGAUACUGACGCUGAGGAGCGAAAGCGUGGGGAGCGUACAGG
rnacentral:rRNA from 1 species